rnacentral:misc_RNA from 1 species
GCUAUAAACAUCACUUUUCUCAGUCAGUUGCCCAUAAAGAGCGUAUUCAGGAGCCAAGUAUCCAUGAGUUCCGGCCACUCUUGUGGUGAGAUGAGACUGACCUUCCCUACUCUGCUUUGCCAACCCAAAAUCAGCCACUCUUGCUCUCAUAUCAGCAUCUAACAAUAUAUUUGUUGCCUUGAUAUCUCUAUGAUAUAUUGCAGGCUUCACUCCAUAGUGCAAAUAAGCUAAUCCCUUUGCCACAUCCAAAAUUAUGCUCUUCCUUUGAGGCCACGUCAAGAGUUUCUUCCCCGUUUGAUCAUCAAAUGCUGGAAACAGAUGAUCAUCAAGAUUCCCGUUAGGCAUGUAAUCAUAAACAAGAUACCUUUGACACCCUUGCUCAGUAUAAUUUUCGUCUUCAACUACACAACAUCCUCUAAGAGGCACCAAAUUCCGGUGCUUCAAAUUACUAAUAAUCUCAACUUCAUUGCAAAAUUCUGCAUUACCUUGAAUAUCAGAUUCUAUAAUCCUCUUAACAGCUACCGUUGUCCCAUCAGACAAAAUUCCCUUGUAAACCAAACCAAACCCUCCUCUACCAAUAAAAUUCUUCUGUGAAAAGUUUUCUGUUGCUUUCUCAAGAUCAUGAAUCUUGAACCAAGUUGAUCCAGUAUUAGGCCUCAGUCUUGGCCUAGACCCUUGUUCCUCCGAAUCAAAGGGAAAACUAGAAUUAUUUUUCUUCCUCCGUUUCUCAUCAUACCAAAAAUAUAAUCCUAACAAACUAGACAUGACCAAAAUAGCAACACCAGCACCAGUCAAGCCAAAAACAAGAGCAGAGUGACCUUUGUUAGAUGAAUCCGUAUUAGAUUCCAAGUCCAACCCAAAUAUACAUGUCACAGCACCAUCACUUUCGGGACCAAACUCAUUGACAAUACCAGCAGCAUAAAGAACUGUAAAGUAAAAACAAUCUGUAGCAUGAGAUUUAUUACCAUCAAUUAAUAUCAAGUCAGAUUGAACUUUAAACCCAGCUGCCACACAUGCACUGCAAGAUGUAAGAUCAACAAGAUCAGGCCUGCAAUCCGAGUCAAGCACAGUUGAAUUACCCAAUUUAGCAACCCAAUCCUUAGCAGUCUGCACAUGGGCACAUAUAUUAGGAGUUAAGACAAACUCCAUAGGAUCAAAACAGCGAGACACAAUAUCAUCAGGAAAAGAAAGAGAGCUGAGCUUUGUUUGAUAAUCUUGAAGACAAGAAACAGAGGCGUUUAAGCUAGGAAGCUGAAAGAGAGAGGUUUCUUUGAGAUGCUGAGCAAGGCCUACCCCAAAGAGGUGAAGAAGGUUGGUGCAACAUGGAUCCUUAUUGGUCGUGUCAUUUUGGAGAUUGGCAGUGUUAUUCUUGGAUGGCUGGUAAUUUUGGCAAGAAGAUUUGUUCCAUGGGAUUCUCAAGACAUAAUUAAGGUCCAUGGGACAUUGGGAUGACAAAUUAUUUUGGGAAAGAGGAAGAGAAGUGAUAGCUGCUCCAUGGGUAGGGGAGAUAAUAGCAAAAGCAAAGAGAAACAAGAGAAGUAAAUCAAGUUUGCCCAUUUCUAUGCUUAGACUCCAGAUUUUGGUUGGCUUAUGUACUGGCUAAUGGAUUCUGGGUUCAGGAUUCUGAAUUCUGGUUUGCAAUAUGUGCAAGUUAGAGAAGGGAAUCAUCUAGACCGGAAAAGAGGCACUUUUGGGUUGAAUGCUCAUAAUGGAGCUUGUGAAAUGAUGGGAUAUG